GAGCCUAGAGUGAUCAUGGGAAUGUUUCUGUGGGCUCUCCUCCUCCCUUGCUGCCUGCUUAGUACCAGUCUUGCUCAGCUUGGAGGCUCCAGUUCCCAAACGGGCAGUGGAAGUGGAGGUCUCCUUCUCAAGCCUGGCCAGGUGCUUGGCAGUGAUGGCGUGGUUAGCCCCAGCUUUCUCAGUGGGAGCGACCGGCAGGCUGGAGCCAUCAGGAGUCCUUCCAGUAGCAGAGGAGCCAUCCACUCCAGACCAAAGCUUCCCUGAGUAUGACCAGAAGCUCGUGUAUCUGAAGGACACUGACACUGAAGACGUCGCGGAAUACAGUGCCCAGUCUAAGAAAUUCAGUAUGCAGCCAGACUGGCCCCAGAACCCCAGCCUGCUGACCACACCCCCAGUGAGAAUGGCUGUGCCUAUUCCAGUUCCACCCGUGAGGAUGCUCGAGACAAAUCAGGCCACCACACAUAACCCUGCUCAAGGUGAAACGAGUGGCCGAGACCCUGCUGACAGAAGUCCUGUGAUCAGCCAAGGAUCCUUGGGCCAUGAAGAAGGGAAUCCCUCCAGACUGAUUGAGAGGAUGUCCAGUCCUUUGGCUUGUUUAGGAACCUCCACUCUCCUUUCUCCAGGCUGCCCACAUCAUCUGAGCCGUAUUACUGCCUGGACUUUCAGCACAUCUCUGUGA
ensembl:lincRNA